rnacentral:rRNA from 1 species
UCCGGGGGGGGUAAGCGUUGUUCGGAAUUACUGGGCGUAAAGGGCUCGUAGGCGGCCAACUAAGUCAGACGUGAAAUCCCUCAGCUUAACUGGGGAACUGCGUCUGAUACUGGAUGGCUUGGAUUUGGGAGAGGGAUGCGGAAUUCCAGGUGUAGCGGUGAAAUGCGUAGAUAUCUGGAGGAACACCGGUGGCGAAGGCGGCAUCCUGGACCGACACUGACGCUGAGGAGCGAAAGCCAGGGGAGCAAACGGG